rnacentral:rRNA from 1 species
CCUACGGGUGGCAGCAGUAGGGAAUCUUCCACAAUGGGCGAAAGCCUGAUGGAGCAACGCCGCGUGGGUGAAGAAGGUCUUCGGAUCGUAAAACCCUGUUGUUAGAGAAGAAAGUGCGUGAGAGUAACUGUUCACGUUUCGACGGUAUCUAACCAGAAAGCCACGGCUAACUACGUGCCAGCAGCCGCGGUGAUACGUAGGUUGCAAGCGUUAUCCGGAUUGAUUGGGCGUAAAGGGAACGCAGGCGGUCUUUUAAGUCUGAUGUGAAAGCCUUCGGCUCAACCGGAGUAGUGCAUUGGAAACUGGGAGACUUGAGUGCAGAAGAGGAGAGUGGAACUCAAGGUGUAGCGGUGAAAUGCGUAGAUAUAUGGAAGAACACCAGUGGCGAAAGCGGCUUUCUGGUCUGUAACUGACGCUGAGGUUCGAAAGCGUGGGUAGCAAACAGGAUUAGAUACCCGGGUAGUC